rnacentral:pre_miRNA from 1 species
AGUGGGAUUACUGGGUCAUAUGGUAUAUCUAUUUUUAGUGUUUUGAGGAAUCUCCAUACUGUUCUCCAUAAUCAUUGUACCAAUUUACAUUCCUACCAACAGU